CGCUCGGAAAAUGUAAUACAAAGAAGCUUAUUCCCGAUUCUUAGAAACAUAGAUUCCUAGGGCGCACGAUCGGAAGAAUGUCUGGUUUAAGUAUUGGAAUAAUGUUUUUACCUCGACAUUCCGAUCGGAGCAAGCAACAAAAAGUUGUGUUAACGGCAGAAGUAAUUGCAUACCCUACUCUUCUCUUCCAGACUAAAUGUAUUUUUAAAUGAAAUUUAGGUAAGUAAGUAGAUUGACAUCCACGACGGGUCGGAAAAUAUUUUCAAUUACCUAAAAAAAAUAUAUAUAUAUAAGAUUAUUA